rnacentral:rRNA from 1 species
AAGGUGAAUCGUAAGGUUUGCUGGAGGUAUCAGAAGUGCGAAUGCUGACAUGAGUAACGACAAAGGGGGUGAAAAACCUCCUCGCCGGAAGACCAAGGGUUCCUGUCCAACGUUAAUCGGGGCAGGGUGAGUCGACCCCUAAGGUGAGGCCGAAAGGCGUAAUCGAUGGGAAACGGGUUAAUAUUCCCGUACUUCUGACUAUUGCGAUGGGGGGACGGAGAAGGCUAGGUGGGCCAGGCGACGGUUGUCCUGGUUCAAGUGCGUAGGCUUGAGAGUUAGGUAAAUCCGGCUCUCUCUAAGGCUGAGACACGACGUCGAGCUACUACGGUAGUGAAGUCAUUGAUGCCAUGCUUCCAGGAAAAGCCUCUAAGCUUCAGAUAGUCAGGAAUCGUACCCCAAACCGACACAGGUGGUCGGGUAGAGAAUACCAAGGCGCUUGAGAGAACUCGGGUGAAGGAACUAGGCAAAAUGGUACCGUAACUUCGGGAGAAGGUACGCUCUUGAUGGUGAAGUCCCUCGCGGAUGGAGCUGACGAGAGUCGCAGAUACCAGGUGGCUGCAACUGUUUAUUAAAAACACAGCACUGUGCAAAAUCGCAAGAUGACGUAUACGGUGUGACGCCUGCCCGGUGCCGGAAGGUUAAUUGAUGGGGUUAGCGCAAGCGAAGCUCUUGAUCGAAGCCCCGGUAAACGGCGGCCGUAACUAUAACGGUCCUAAGGUAGCGAAAUUCCUUGUCGGGUAAGUUCCGACCUGCACGAAUGGCGUAAUGAUGGCCACGCUGUCUCCACCCGAGACUCAGUGAAAUUGAAAUCGCUGUGAAGAUGCAGUGUACCCGCGGCUAGACGGAAAGACCCCGUGAACCUUUACUACAGCUUGGCACUGAACAUUGAACCUACAUGUGUAGGAUAGGUGGGAGGCUAUGAAGACGUGACGCCAGUUGCGUUGGAGCCGUCCUUGAAAUACCACCCUUGUAUGUUUGAUGUUCUAACUUAGACCCAUUAUCUGGGUUGAGGACAGUGCCUGGUGGGUAGUUUGACUGGGGCGGUCUCCUCCCAAAGAGUAACGGAGGAGCACGAAGGUGGGCUAAUCACGGUUGGACAUCGUGAGGUUAGUGCAAUGGCAUAAGCCCGCUUAACUGCGAGAAUGACGGUUCGAGCAGGUGCGAAAGCAGGUCAUAGUGAUCCGGUGGUUCUGUAUGGAAGGGCCAUCGCUCAACGGAUAAAAGGUACUCCGGGGAUAACAGGCUGAUACCGCCCAAGAGUUCAUAUCGACGGCGGUGUUUGGCACCUCGAUGUCGGCUCAUCACAUCCUGGGGCUGAAGUCGGUCCCAAGGGUAUGGCUGUUCGCCAUUUAAAGUGGUACGCGAGCUGGGUUUAGAACGUCGUGAGACAGUUCGGUCCCUAUCUGCCGUGGGCGUUGGAAGAUUGAAGGGGGCUGCUCCUAGUACGAGAGGACCGGAGUGGACGAACCUCUGGUGUUCGGGUUGUGUCGCCAGACGCAUUGCCCGGUAGCUAAGUUCGGAAUUGAUAAGCGCUGAAAGCAUCUAAGCGCGAAGCGAGCCCUGAGAUGAGUCUUCCCUGACAGUUUAACUGUCCUAAAGGGUUGUUCGAGACUAGAACGUUGAUAGGCAGGGUGUGUAAGCGUUGUGAGGCGUUGAGCUAACCUGUACUAAUUGCCCGUGAGGCUUAACCAUACAACACCCAAGGGGUUUUGUA